CUUACAUGAUGAAAUCUAUUUCUAUACAUUCGCAGUUUCCUCGGUAGCAUACGCACAAGAACCCAUCUUUGUAUGCCGGUGACCGCCACAUAGACCUUCCAUGGAUGUCUGAUUUG
rnacentral:snoRNA from 1 species